rnacentral:rRNA from 1 species
UGUAAAGCACUUUAAGCGAGGAGGAGGCUACUCUAGUUAAUACCUAGAGAUAGUGGACGUUACUCGCAGAAUAAGCACCGGCUAACUCUGUGCCAGCAGCCGCGGUAAUACAGAGGGUGCGAGCGUUAAUCGGAUUUACUGGGCGUAAAGCGUGCGUAGGUGGCCAAUUAAGUCAAAUGUGAAAUCCCCGAGCUUAACUUGGGAAUUGCAUUCGAUACUGGUUGGCUAGAGUAUGGGGGAGGAUGGUAGAAUUCCAGGUGUAGCGGUGAAAUGCGUAGAGAUACUGGAGGAAUACCGAUGGCGAAGGCAGCCAUACUGGCCUAAUACUGACACUGAGGUACGAAAGCUAUGGGGAGCAAACAGGAUUAGAUACCCUGGUAGUCCAUGCCGUAAACGGUGUCUACUAGCCGUUGGGGUCUUUGAGACUUUAGUGGCGCAAGCUACGCGGAUAAAGUAGACCGCCUGGGGAGUACGGUCGCAAGA